AUGUCGAUCCUCGUAGUCAUGCAGUUUUUCAUGGUUGCCUCCCUUUGCCUCCCGUGUUCGGCCAACACCAUGCAUGCAGCCACCUUGUCCGCUGCUGAAAUUUCCACAACAAGCGCCACUGACCACCAAGCGCUCAUGUCAUUGAGAUCUAUGAUCAAAGAAGAUCCGUUCCAAGCACUGAAUUCAUGGGAAAACCAGUCAAUCCCUAUGUGCCAAUGGCGCGGAGUGGCCUGUGGCACGCGCGGCCACCCCCGUGGCCGUGUCGUAGCACUGGAUCUUCAUGGGCUCAACCUUCUUGGCACCAUUUCCUCUUCCAUAGGUAAUCUAACUUACCUCAGGCAUUUUGGCCUCCAAGAGAACCGCUUUUAUGGUACCAUACCAACAGAGGUUGGGCAUCUUGUACAACUCAAGUAUCUGAACGUCAGCAGGAACUCCAUCGGCAGGGAGAUCCCGCCGACACUGGCCACUUGUGUUCAGCUUCGAGUUAUUGAUUUGAGGCACAACAUGCAUAAAGGCUCAGUGCCUCAGGAGUUGGCAUCCCUGGAUAAUCUUGAGGUACUGGCUCUUGGGUACAACAACCUUACAGGAAGUAUUCCUGUGGAAAUUGGAAACCUGAAAGCCCUGAAGUAUCUUCAUCUGAGAGCAAACCUGCUAGUAGGAGAAAUACCAGUGGAGGUUGGAAAUCUUAGAAACUUGACCGAUUUAUAUCUUAAUUUCAAUGGUCUGUCAGGUUCUGUUCCUGCAUCUCUUGGAGGCCUCCAGAAAUUGCAGAUUCUGUAUCUAUCGGGAAACCAGCUCUCAGGGCUGAUUCCACCUUCCCUAGGAAACCUCUCAUCUCUACUAGUUCUAGAUGUCCAAAAAAAUGGCCUAACUGGAAGCAUCCCUGAAUCGUUAGGAAAUCUGAAUCUCCUCAACGUCCUUUCUCUCACAUCUAAUAGUUUUACAGGCUCAAUCCCUCACACUCUUGGAAAACUAAGUUCUCUCGUUGAGUUUUAUCUGAAUGGGAAUCAACUCGAGGGUUCUAUACCACCUUCUGUCUAUAAUCUUUCAUCCCUCCAAUAUUUUGUCGUGGAAGUCAACAACCUCAGUGGAUCUGUUUCAGAUGACUUGGGUAAUAAGUUUCCACAACUCAAGCAACUUAGCAUAGGCCAUAAUCAAUUUCAUGGGUCCAUCCCAGAGUCUUUGUGCAAUGCUUCAAUGCUUGAAAUCGUUCAAUUGGGUCACACCUUUCUUUCCGGCGUAAUACCAAAAUGUCUUGGAGCUAUGAAGAGCUUAUUGGUAUUGUUUCUCCAAUCUGGUCAGCUAGAGGCAAGGAAUGACGCUGAUUGGGACUUCAUUUCUAGCCUGACAAAUUGUAGUAUGCUGCAGUACCUAGAUCUAGGCAAUAACAAACUAGAAGGGGUGCUACCAAAUUCAAUAGCAAAUCUUUCCACAAACUUAAUAAUUCUCGGCUUGGCAAACAACAUGCUACAGGGAAAUAUACCUGAAGGAAUUGGAAACCUUGUCAACUUGCAAUACUUGCACUUGGAAGAUAAUUUGCUACAUGGAAAAAUUCCUGAGUCGAUUGGCAACCUUGCAAUCCUGGGUGAACUAUACUUGUCAAACAACAGUUUAUCUGGACCAAUUCCACCAAAACUUGGAAAUCUCACAGCAUUAAACAGACUCGUCCUCGCCCAAAAUGUGCUUACUGGCCCCAUACCAUCCAGCCUUAGAAGCUGUCCAUUGGAGACACUAAGCCUACAAUUCAAUAAGCUUGUUGGUCCUAUACCAAAAGAGAUUUUCCUCAUAUCCUGGGUGAACUAUACUAGUUAA
rnacentral:rRNA from 1 species